rnacentral:rRNA from 1 species
AUUGAACGCUGGCGGCAGGCCUAACACAUGAAAGUCGAACGAGUGGCGGACGGGUGAGUAAUGUCUGGGAAACUGCGUGAUGGAGGGGGAUAACUACUGGAAACGGUAGUUAAUACCGCAUACCAUCGGAUGUGCCCAGAUGGGAUUAGCUAGUAGGUGGGGUAAAGGCUCACCUAGGCGACGAUCCCUAGCUGGUCUGAGAGGAUGACCAGCCACACUGGAACGGAGACACGGUCCAGACUCCUACGGGAGGCAGCAGUGGGGAAUAUUGCACAAUGGGCGCAAGCCUGAUGCAGCCAUGCCGCGUGUAUGAAGAAGGCCUUCGGGUUGUAAAGUACUGUCAGCGGGGAGGCGUUACCCGCAGAAGAAGCGCCGGCUAACUCCGUGCCAGCAGCCGCGGUAAUUC